AACGAACGUUAGCGGCGCGCUUAACACAUGCAAGUCGCACGAGAAAGGGCUUCGGCCCCGGUACAGUGGCGCACGGGUGAGUAACACGUGGGUAAUCUUCCCUCGGGCGGGGGAUAACAUUCCGAAAGGAGUGCUAAUACCGCAUAAGACCACGGCUUCGAAAGGAGCUGAGGUCAAAGCCGGCCUCUAUUCAUAAGCUGGCACCUGAGGAUGAGCCCGCGGCCCAUCAGCUAGUUGGUAGGGUAAUGGCCUACCAAGGCAAAGACGGGUAGCUGGUCUGAGAGGAUGAUCAGCCACACUGGAACUGAGACACGGUCCAGACUCCUACGGGAGGCAGCAGUGGGGAAUCUUGCGCAAUGGGCGAAAGCCUGACGCAGCGACGCCGCGUGAGUGAUGAAGGCCUUCGGGUUGUAAAGCUCUGUGGGGAGAGACGAAUAAGUCGGAGCUAAUACCUCCGGCGAUGACGGUAUCUCCUUAGCAAGCACCGGCUAACUCUGUGCCAGCCGCCGCUGUAACAC
rnacentral:rRNA from 1 species